rnacentral:rRNA from 1 species
ACAGUAAGGCGUGGGUAACCUACCCUGGGGACGGGGAUAGCCACUCUAACGAGUGGGUAAUACCCGGCGAUCUGGUUGGGGGGCAUCUCCUGGCCAGCAAAUGAGAUUCGCCCUGGGAGGGGCUCACGUAGUAUUACCUAGUUGGCGGGGUAACGGCCCACCAAGGGAAAGAUGCUUAGCAGGUGUGAGAGCACGACCUGCGCCACUGGCACUGUGACACUGGCCAG